rnacentral:tRNA from 1 species
GCCCCCAUCGUCUAGCGGCUAGGACGUUGGAUUCUCAUUCCAGAAACCGGGGUUCGAUUCCCCGUGGGGGUGCCA